GACGAAGGAUGCAAGCGUUAUCCGGAUUCAUUGGGUUUAAAGGGAGCGUAGGCGGCCUUGUAAGUCAGUGGUGAAAUCUCUGGGCUUAACUCAGAAAUUGCCAUUGAUACUGCAGGGCUUGAGUACAGUUGCCGUUGGCGGAAUAUGACAUGUAGUGGUGAAAUACAUAGAGAUGUCAUAGAACACCGAUUGCGAAGGCAGCUAACGAAACUGUAACUGACGCUGAGGCUCGAAAGGUGUGGGGAUCAAACAGG
rnacentral:rRNA from 1 species